AGGGAAUAUUGGACAAUGGGGGCAACCCUGAUCCAGCCAUGCCGCGUGAGUGAAGAAGGCCCUCGGGUUGUAAAGCUCUUUUGUCCGGAAAGAAAAGCUUCGGGUUAAUACCCCGGGGUUCUGACGGUACCGGAAGAAUAAGCACCGGCUAACUUCGUGCCAGCAGCCGCGGUAAUACGAAGGGUGCAAGCGUUACUCGGAAUUACUGGGCGUAAAGCGUGCGUAGGUGGUUGUUUAAGUCUGAUGUGAAAGCCCUGGGCUCAACCUGGGAAUGGCAUUGGAAACUGGGCAGCUAGAGUGCGGUAGAGGGUAGUGGAAUUCCCGGUGUAGCAGUGAAAUGCGUAGAGCUCGGGAGGAACAUCUGUGGCGAAGGCGACUGCCUGGACCAGCACUGACAC
rnacentral:rRNA from 1 species